AACAUAUCGAGUACUCACAUGUACCACUUUUAACACAACUGACAACUAAACAAAACAAAAUAAACAAUUUUUCAAUUAAAAAAAUAUUAACUAGCGAGUCGCAUCAUAGCUGGCUGGAAGUGUCAUGUACACAAUAUUGGAUAAACAAUGUACAAGCUAGAAACUCGAGACAUACAUAAUAUCAUCAUAAAAAGCAAAUCGCACGCAGCAACAACGUGAAAGACGAAUAUUAAUUGGUUAUACGUUUAUUACCCGACAACGAUGCAAUGGAAAUUGCUGCUAUUCGUAUGUGACGGAGGAGACAUGACUUGCGGCAAGAGAGAAGAAGCCACCCAUUGGAGGCACUUAAGGGCAGGAGUUUAUUUUAAAUGUGCUAUUAAAAUUGACUUAAUAGCGAUAUUUUUAAAAACAAUAACAAGCCAGAAGACGUUUGAGCAUACACAAUAUAUUAUCAUGUAAAGCAAAUAACAAACUAAAACAAUAUCUAAGGAAAUUAAAAAUAUGUAGGUAUAUUAUUUUACCCGAUAACGAUACAAAGAAAAUCGCUGCCACAGCAACUAAAAAAGAUAUGGUUUUGGAAACGGCCAUCUUGUUCGCUUAAUACCGUUGAAUUAAUUGCCGUCGUUUAACAGUGUUCACUGUGAAAUUUUGGUUAAAUGUAAAACUAAGAAUUGUAUACAGACGUUAAAUAAGUAAACGACUUUAGUCAUGUGCAACUCGUUAUGAUGUAAA